rnacentral:sRNA from 22 species
UCGAUUCGAUAUUGAUGGCGACGUCAGUGAAAACUGGCGUUGGAGGUAGUCUGACAACGGUCAGGACGGUGUAAACCGCGAACAGCUCAGAGAGCUGGGGUGCCUCGUAAGAACUCAACCUUUCGCCACCCCGAUGCACAGAUAUCAGUCG